UACGUAGGGUGCGAGCGUUAAUCGGAAUUACUGGGCGUAAAGCGUGCGCAGGCGGUUUGGCAAGUCAGAUGUGAAAUCCCCGAGCUCAACUUGGGAACUGCGUUUGAAACUGCCAGACUAGAAUAUGUCAGAGGGGGGUAGAAUUCCACGUGUAGCAGUGAAAUGCGUAGAGAUGUGGAGGAAUACCAAUGGCGAAGGCAGCCCGCUGGGAUAAUAUUGACGCUCAUGCACGAAAGCGUGGGGAGCAAACAGG
rnacentral:rRNA from 1 species